AAAAAAUAUUAAAACAAAGUGAAAUAAUGAUCAUUUAGGAAUAGUAUGAUAAAUACUCACACCAGGUAAUAGCAGAAGAGUCAUUUGCAAAAUUGCAAUACUCUCCAAAAGUGAAAGAAUUGCACUGACACUGACAUUUCCCAGAUGUUACAUUGAAGAUGCAUGGGGACCCAUUACACUGACAAUUCUCCAGACAGUUUUGAGUUGUUGAAACUGUGUUUACUGUUGUUGGGGAUGAAUGGAGUUCUGUUGAUACUGAUGAAGUUUUCUGGGUACUAGUUUCAGCAGAUGUGCUCGACUGGGAUGAUGUAGGAAUGCUAAAUGUUUGGGCUGUAUCAGCUGGGGUUAUUGUUUGAGGAUUAGGAGACGUUUGUCCUUCUAUUGUAGUAAAUAGUGAAGAUGGAGUUGAACCUAUUGUGGGUAAUGUAGUUUCCAGUAUUGAACUACUUUCAAGUGUAGAUGAUAGUAAUGUGGUGCUCAUGGGUGACUGAGCGGUUUGUGUCGGCUGGCUUGUUGAUUGUUCUAUACUAGAUGACAUUAAUUCUGUUAUAGAUGAGGUAAAUGUUGAUAUGGUUUGUCCUUCUGUGGUAGACAAUGGUAGUGGUGAAGCUGAAGAGGUACUUGUUGAACCACUUUCAAGUGUAGACGAUUCUAAAGUGGACAUACUCAUGGAUUCUGUUUCUAUGGUAGAAGGAAACUGAGUGGUUUGUGUUUGCUGGCUUGUUCGUUCUACACUAGAUGACAAUGUAUGUAUUGAUAAAGUGAAUCCUGAUGCGCUUUGUCCGUCUGUUAUUGUAGAUGGUGAAAAUGGAGAGGAACCUGUUGUGGACAAUGUAGUUUCUGCAGUUGAUACACUUUCAGUUGUAGAAUAUUCUAAUGUGGAUGUGCUCAUAGGGGUCAUAGCUGUUGUAAAUACUGAUAUAGCUUCUGUUUUAAGUUCUGAUUCUGUGGUAGAAGUAAACUGAGUGGCUUGUGUCAGCUGGCUAGAUGUUUCUCCUACAGCAGAUGAAAAUAUUUUUUUUUUUUUUUUUUUUUUUUUUUUUUUUUUUUUUUUUUUUUUUUUUUUUUUUUUUUUUUUUUUUUUUUUUUUUUUUUUUUAUGCUCUCAGAUUCUGUCAAUUUUAUUAUGAAAUUCAAACAAUGAAUACCGUUUUGGUGCUUGUAAACGUGACGCGACAGAUCCCUAGCGGCACGUGAACUAAUCAUCUCUAGCUAAUAGUAAAGAACUCUGUGUAAUCCGUAUGGCCGUGAACAUGGGCAGUCAAUGUGCAACAAAGGUUCGUGGAUUUCACAAACGGGUUUAUUCCAUGCCUGUAGUUUUGUGCUGUUGUUAAAACAGCCAACCACACAACACACUCUUCUCGGCAUCACUGGACAGCAUACGUACUAAAAAAAACUAAAUAAA
ensembl:lncRNA